rnacentral:rRNA from 1 species
UACGUAGGGUGCGAGCGUUAAUCGGAAUUACUGGGCGUAAAGCGUGCGCAGGCGGCUUUGCAAGACAGAUGUGAAAUCCCCGGGCUCAACCUGGGAACUGCAUUUGUGACUGCAAGGCUAGAGUACGGCAGAGGGGGAUGGAAUUCCGCGUGUAGCAGUGAAAUGCGUAGAUAUGCGGAGGAACACCGAUGGCGAAGGCAAUUCCCUGGGCCUGUACUGACGCUCAUGCACGAAAGCGUGGGGAGCAAACAGGGUUAGAUACCCGAGUAGUCC